UACGUAGGGGGCGAGCGUUGUCCGGAUUUAUUGGGCGUAAAGAGCGUGUAGGCGGCCAGGUAGGUCUGCUGUGAAAACUCGAGGCUCAACCUCGAGAGGUCGGUGGAAACCGUGUGGCUAGAGUCCGGAAGAGGAGAGUGGAAUUCCUGGUGUAGCGGUGAAAUGCGUAGAUAUCUGGAGGAAUACCGGUGGCGAAGGCGGCAUCCUGGACCGACAUUGACGCUGAACGGCGAAAGCUAGGGGAGCAAACGGG
rnacentral:rRNA from 1 species